AUCGCUUCCUGGCUCUUUGAGCUGUGGUGCAAGUGAAAUAUCUGUUCUUAUCAGUUUAAUAUCUGAUAUCUUCUCGAUGUAAGAACAGAAUUAUCAGACACAUAGAUGAACACAAUAUGCUGGGGAAGAGUCACUGUGGCUUUUGAAAAGGGAAAUCAUGCCCCACCAGUCUGUUAGAAGUCUUUGAGGGGCUUAACAAAC
rnacentral:snRNA from 1 species